AGUGCAGGAAGUGGCGCGCACUGAGUGGUGAGGGCUCACAACAGUGCCCUACGGGCCGGUCCACUUCCUCGCCAAAAUCUGGCACACAGAGUCUUGACUCACUGAAGACCGCCUCCUCUCGGUGCUAACAAUAAGAGCCCCUCAGUUUGUCAGGCUUCGGGAAAGCUAAAUUAUUUUCUAAUAUCAAAGAAGAAUUCUAACCAUAGCUUUUCCAGUUACUGAAAAACUUUGGUAGAAAAUCUGAACUCCUCAUUUCUCCUCAAGAAUGAAAGAAAGAAUGAUGCCAUAUGCUAUGGCUUAGAUGAGUGUUCCCGGAGCCCAUAUGUUAAAAGCACAUCGCCCAGCUCAUGCUACCACAAGGUAAGUAGCUUUCUCUGGCGUACUCCCCAACCACACUACAUUGCCUCUUCACAACUUCCAAAAUAACGAGUGACCAGUACAACUGAUUGUGAACUGAAAUCUUCAAUACUGUGAGCCAAGAUUCAUCUUUCCUUUUCUGUAAGUUGAUUAUCUUGGUUAUUUUGUUAUAGUAAUGAGAAGCUAGCAUACUACAUAAACAAUAAAUUAAAGUCCACCUCAUAUUUUAAAAGACAUGCCCAUCUUCUAAACAGUAAAUGUUAUUGACCACGGCAUGUGAUGUGGAAGGCAUUUAAAGUCAUCCACACUGGCUUUCUAGUGGAAUCCAGGCCCUUAGGUCUAGCAAUGGGAGGACCUGGUAUUUGAACUUAGUUCUUCUAAAGAAGGUCUUAGAUCUUGCUAACUUCUUUUCUUAUUUUCUAAUGCAUAUUUAGGUGGGUGUAGAUAUAUAUUGAGCAUUUCAUACAUGCCUGUGAUAGUUUGUAUAUGCUUGGCCCAGGGAAUGGCACUAUUAGAAGGUAUGGCCCUAUUGGAGUAGGUGUGUCUCUAUGGGUGGGCUUUAAGACCCCCAUCCUAGCUGCCUGGAAGUCAGUAUUCUGCUAGCAGCCUUCAGAUGAAGAUGUAGAACUCUCAGCUCCUCUUGCACCAUGCCUGCCUGGAUGCUGCUAUGCUCCCACUUUGAUGAUAAUGGACUGAACCUAUAAACCAGCCCCAAUUAAAUGUUGUCCUUAUAGGAGUUGCUUUGGCCAUAGUGUCUAUUCACAGCAGUAAAACCCUAACUAAGAAAAUGCCUAAUGUUUUGACUAAAUUCAUUCUCAUUCCACCCCCUGUAGCUCUUCUCCUAUCCCUCUCCACUGUUCCUUUCCAACAAAAUGUGUGUGUGUGUGUGUGUGUGUGUUUAAAAACCCUAUUAGUCUAUUUAAUGUUGCUCGUGUGCAUGGGUGUAGAGCCAGGGGUGGAGCAUGGGUAGCCUCUCAGGGGAUGCAUCCCUAAAGGAAACUAAUCUUUCCCCAACAACCAUCACUUGCCAAUAACUCAUCUACACACAGGACAUCGUCCCUGUUCCUUCCCUGGUCCGUGCUGGGAUUUUCUCUGGCUUGAUCUUGUACAAAUCUCAUACAUGCAGUCCCAGGUGAUGUGAAUUCAUGUGUGCAACCGCCCCAUCAUGUCAAUCCAAUACCGUUUUGCUGCUGGCCCACUACUCUGACUCUUACAAUCUUUCUGCCACUGUGAUCCCUGAGCCCUAGGGGAAAGGGAUGUAAUAUAGAUGUCCUAUUCGGAACUGAGCACUCCAUAGUCUCUUUUCUUUUUUCUUUUUUUUCUUUCUUUCUUUCUCUCUUGUUUU